rnacentral:rRNA from 1 species
ACUGCUCAGUAACACGUAGAUAACCUGCCCUUGGGUCCGGCAUAACCCCGGGAAACUGGGGAUAAUUCCGGAUAACGCAUAUGUGCUGGAAUGCUUUAUGCGUAAAAUGGAUUCGUCUGCCCAAGGAUGGGUCUGCGGCCUAUCAGGUAGUAGUGGGUGUAAUGUACCUACUAGCCGACAACGGGUACGGGUUGUGAGAGCAAGAGCCCGGAGAUGGAUUCUGAGACAUGAAUCCAGGCCCUACGGGGCGCAGCAGGCGCGAAAACUUUACAAUGCGGGAAACCGUGAUAAGGGGACACCGAGUGCCAGCAUCAUAUGCUGGCUGUCCGGGUGUGUAAAAUACACCUGUUAGCAAGGGCCGGGCAAGACCGGUGCCAGCCGCCGCGGUAACACCGGCGGCCCGAGUGGUGAUCGUGAUUAUUGGGUCUAAAGGGUCCGUAGCCGGUUUGGUCAGUCCUCCGGGAAAUCUGAUAGCUCAACUAUUAGGCUUUCGGGGGAUACUGCCAGGCUUGGAACCGGGAGAGGUAAGAGGUACUACAGGGGUAGGAGUGAAAUCUUGUAAUCCCUGUGGGACCACCUGUGGCGAAGGCGUCUUACCAGAACGGGUUCGACGGUGAGGGACGAAAGCUGGGGGCACGAACCGGAUUAGAUACCCGGGUAGUCCCAGCCGUAAACGAUGCUCGCUAGGUGUCAGCAUGGCGCGACCGUGUCUGGUGCCGCAGGGAAGCCGUGAAGCGAGCCACCUGGGAAGUACGGCCGCAAGGCUGAAACUUAAAGGAAUUGGCGGGGGAG